GCUAAGGCCGAUGGCGACCGGCGCACGGGUGAGUAACACGUAUCCAACCUGCCGUCUACUCUUGGACAGCCUUCUGAAAGGAAGAUUAAUACAAGAUGGCAUCAUGAGUCCGCAUGUUCACAUGAUUAAAGGUAUUCCGGUAGACGAUGGGGAUGCGUUCCAUUAGAUAGUAGGCGGGGUAACGGCCCACCUAGUCUUCGAUGGAUAGGGGUUCUGAGAGGAAGGUCCCCCACAUUGGAACUGAGACACGGUCUAAACUCCUACGGGAGGCAGCAGUGAGGAAUAUUGGUCAAUGGGCGAGAGCCUGAACCAGCCAAGUAGCGUGAAGGAUGACUGCCCUAUGGGUUGUAAACUUCUUUUAUAAAGGAAUAAAGUCGGGUAUGGAUACCCGUUUGCAUGUACUUUAUGAAUAAGGAUCGGCUAACUCCGUGCCAGCAGCCGCGGUAAUACGGAGGAUCCGAGCGUUAUCCGGAUUUAUUGGGUUUAAAGGGAGCGUAGAUGGAUGUUUAAGUCAGUUGUGAAAGUUUGCGGCUCAACCGUAAAAUUGCAGUUGAUACUGGAUAUCUUGAGUGCAGUUGAGGCAGGCGGAAUUCGUGGUGUAGCGGUGAAAUGCUUAGAUAUCACGAAGAACUCCGAUUGCGAAGGCAGCCUGCUA
rnacentral:rRNA from 1 species